rnacentral:rRNA from 1 species
CCUACGGGAGGCAGCAGUGGGGAAUAUUGGACAAUGGGCGAAAGCCUGAUCCGGCCAUGCCGCGUGUGUGAAGAAGGCCUUCGGGUUGUAAAGCACUUUCAGUGGGGAAGAAAGCCUUGGGGCUAAUACCCUCGAGGAAGGACAUCACCCACAGAAGAAGCACCGGCUAACUCCGUGCCAGCAGCCGCGGUAAUACGGAGGGUGCGAGCGUUAAUCGGAAUUACUGGGCGUAAAGCGCGCGUAGGCGGUCUGAUAAGCCGGUUGUGAAAGCCCCGGGCUCAACCUGGGAACGGCAUCCGGAACUGUCAGGCUAGAGUGCAGGAGAGGAAGGUAGAAUUCCCGGUGUAGCAGUGAAAUGCGUAGAGAUCGGGAGGAAUACCAGUGGCGAAGGCGGCCUUCUGGACUGACACUGACGCUGAGGUGCGAAAGCGUGGGUAGCAAACAGGAUUAGAUACCCCUGUAGUC